rnacentral:rRNA from 1 species
AAUAGAUACCCGGGUAGUCCACCCCGUAAACGUUGGGAACUAGUUGUGGGUCCUUUCCACGGAUUCCGUGACGCAGCUAACGCAUUAAGUUCCCCGCCUGGGGAGUACGGCCGCAAGGCUAAAACUCAAAGGAAUUGACGGGGACCCGCACAAGCGGCGGAGCAUGCGGAUUAAUUCGAUGCAACGCGAAGAACCUUACCAAGGCUUGACAUACACCAGAACACCCUAGAAAUAGGGGACUCUUUGGACACUGGUGAACAGGUGGUGCAUGGUUGUCGUCAGCUCGUGUCGUGAGAUGUUGGGUUAAGUCCCGCAACGAGCGCAACCCUCGUUCUAUGUUGCCAGCACGUAAUGGUGGGAACUCAUGGGAUACUGCCGGGGUCAACUCGGAGGAAGGUGGGGAUGACGUCAAAUCAUCAUGCCCCUUAUGUCUUGGGCUUCACGCAUGCUACAAUGGCCGGUACAAAGGGCUGCAAUACCGUGAGGUGGAGCGAAUCCCAAAAAGCCGGUCCCAGUUCGGAUUGAGGUCUGCAACUCGACCUCA